AAAAGGGGAAUGCAUCUAAAUUAAUAUUAAAUAACACGUUGCACAGUGUAGGAUACUGUACGUGAAGGUUUCAUAUGUGAAUGUGAGGAUGCCGGUGUCUAUCGUGCGGGUCCACUUAACGGACAAUUCACAGCAAUAAUAAACGUUUGUGAAUAGCGUCUCAUUUAUCCAUCGUAUACCGUCUACCAGUUUCCUCUUUAUAUUUUAAACAUAUUUUGAUUUUUUUUUUUAUUAUUAUUAUUAUUUAUUAUUUCAUUAAAGUUUAUAUUACAAUAUUAAAUAAUGUUCAAUACCCAUGAGCUACGACAACCGUUGCAAUGAUCAAUGAAUCACUUUUCAAACUAUUUUCAUGGGCAAUUAUUUGUAUUAACUAUCCAUGUAAUCUGGGAUAAUGUAGUUACAUCUGAGUACGAGUGUUGAAUUAAUACACAUACGAGUUGAGGAAAUGGGUGUGCUAUCCGUGGGACAGCGAACAACCGAAUGCGUUCCAUUCGAUUUCUACUAUAACUGUACAGGUGUACGUAUACGUGCGCGGAUGGUGUACGAUACAGAUGACAUUUAACAAUACCUGAACAACGCCACCGCCGCACACAUUAUGCUGAUGAUGCCGGUGGUAACGAUGAUGAUAAUAGGCUAACCUCGGUUGAUGUUUUCUCCCCAAUUUUUGUUCGGUUUCCUUAUAUCCAAACGCACCGAAGUGUAGUUUUUUAUUUUAUGAUAAUGCGUAUACCCAACAAAACUAUUUUAAGACGAACUAUAUAAAUGACGGUGGUGUAUAUAAUUUUGAAUCCCUAAAUAAUAAGUACUUCUUUAAAACUGAAUAAUGACUUAUACAAUCAAGCGAAAAAUAGGUAUAUAGUUUAUAAUACCUACUUAAUAUUGAACAAAAGAAUCAAUUGAGACACUUGGCUGUAAGUUUAUUUCGCUCUUAUAUUAUUUUAUAAAAUAAUAUCAGAGUGAAAUAAACAGUGAAAUAAUAACAGGUGAUAUAUCACCUCUCUUUCCGUACCAAAAAUUCAAUUAUUUUAUUGUGUAAAUAAGUACAGUAGGGUAGUAUAAUGACACCAACCAACGCGAUAAAACAUUUUCUUAUAAUUAAGUAUCAACUAUUCAUGUUCAUAACAUUUUAUAAAGUAAA